GGGACCAUAGCUCAGUUGGUUAGAGCGCACCCCUGAUAAGGGUGAGGUCGAAGGUUCAACUCCUUUUGGUCCCA
rnacentral:tRNA from 1 species